UAGACAAACACCUGUCAGAGAUGGUCUAGAUAAUACUUAGUCCUGUCUUGAGUGCAGGGGACUGGAUUAGACGAUGUCUUGAGAUCCCUUCCCAUUCUAUGAUUCUAUGAGUCCUUCA